GAAGCUCUUUAUUAUCUUUACUCACGUUACGUCAAGAACUCUAUAUAUCUUAAUAACUUAAUAACUUUUUAUGGCUUAUGAGGGCUUGAUCUCAGAAGAAGAAAAAGUUGAAUUAGUGGGAAAGAUAGCUUCAGUAAUUGACAAAGAAAAUUUAAGCUCAAAUGUACUUGGUAAAAAUGAAGUAAAAAUAGCUGUGGAGAAGAUUUUAGCCCUUCAACGCCACCAGCCAGAAGUUUGCUUGGAAGUUGAAGUGAUUUCAGCCUUUGACAUUCCUAAGUAUAAGUACGAUGAAACCCAAAAGCGCUUUGUAAGCGCGCCUAAUAGAAAAACUUUGUUUUCUACUGCCGAAGAAAAAAGUUUAUUGUAUCGUGAAAGAUACUUGCUUAUUUUGCAAAGAUUAAGAAGAAAUUCAAUAUUUGCGCCUCCUCCUCUUUGGGCAUCUACGCGCCGUUCUUAUCACAAACUUUUAACAGUCGAUUCGCUAUCAAGCAUUAUGUGCGCGUCUGGUGCGGAAGAUCAGAAUCUGGUAGUGCUCUUUGGAAUGCUUUCUCAGCUUGAAGAGGGGAAGUUUUAUUUGGAAGAUCUCACUGGUCACGUGUUGUUAGACUUUACUGAAGCCAAAGUUACUGCUGGAUUGUUUGUAGAAAACUCGAUGGCGCUUGUGCAGGGGCUUUACGCGGAAGGGCUCCUCCGGGUUCAGGUCCUCGGCUCGCCUCCCACGGAGAGUAAAGAAUUGAGCAGAGACGUUCUGAAAAGCGCGAAUUUCUUUGGCGGAACUUUUGUGCACGACUAUUUCGUCAUGGAUGAGUUGGGUAAAAAAGAAGCUGACAAUGAGACGGCUAUGAUAGUGUGUCUGUCGGAUGUGUGGCUGGAUAAACCUGAGGUACUGGAGAAACUAAACGAGCUGCUUCGGGGCUACGAACCUUUGCUCCCUGAAGCUUUUAUCUUUAUGGGAAAUUUUUCUCGUGGACCCCAGAGCGCGCACUCCUUUUUUGAGCUGCGAGUUACAGACCUCUUCAAAAAGCUGGCUGGAGUGCUUGCACAGUAUAAGCAGCUAGUGAUGCGCAGCAAGUUUAUCUUUGUGCCUGGGCCUCAGGAUCCCGGCCCAGGCCACGUCCUUCCACGGCCGCCCUUACCGGACGUACUGACCAAGCCUCUGAAGGACCUACUUAAGCAUAACGCGGUCUUCGCCACCAAUCCCUGCCGCGUGAGAUAUGGCACCCAAGAAAUUGUUGUGUUCCGGGAAGACCUCAUCGCGAAGCUCAAACGAAAUAGCGUUCUUACCCCGUCCGCCGACGAGGGGCCGCUCCACUUCCACAUGGUCAAGACUCUUAUGGAACAGUCGCAUCUCUCGCCGCUUCCUCUGCACGCAAGCCCGAUUUACUGGUGGUUCGACCACGCGCUACGUUUGUAUCCCCUUCCCGAUACCCUGAUUCUCGGAGACCAAUACGCGCACUUCACGGUGGAGUAUGAGGGGGUGAGCUGUUUCAAUCCGGGUUCGUUCCUGUCUUCGGGGUUUCACUUCAUGGUCUACUGGUUGGCCGCCAGAAAACCGGAACUCAGGUAUCAAGCAGAGUAAGGUAGCAGCCACUGAAUAUGCUACCGUGCUGAAUUUUUGUCCUCCGACCUUGAGCAUAUAAUAAAACAUGAAGCACAACACGUGGCAAUGAGACUGCCGGAGGGAGCCACUACGCUCGGAGUGGUCAUCCCCACGAGAUACACCAGGUUCCUCAGGAUUUUCUUAGCUGUACAGCGAAACGGAUGGGUCGAGUUCUAUAGCAAUUCACAACGUUAGCAAACAGACCAAUAACUUGCUCCUGGCGUAAAAUUUCCAGCGGGUCAGGAGAUGUAUAGCGUUUUCUCUGCAAACUCAGCAGUUGCGAAAAAUAUUCUGCAUUGGUAAGGAAAAAAAACCGAGUAGCUCCUGGGCAAGUGCGCUGCCCGGCUGAUCAGGAUUACUGUAGUCAAGAGUUUAAU